rnacentral:rRNA from 1 species
GAUGAACGCUGGCGGCGUGUCUAAGGCAUGCAAGUCGAACGGACUGUUAUUUGUAGCAAUACUUAGAACAGUUAGUGGCAAACGGGUGCGUAACACAUUGGUAACCUGCCUCAAAGUCGGGCAUAAUCCCGCGAAAGUGGGACUAAUUCCACGAUAGUCAUCGAAGGUGAGAUUCCUUCGAUGUAAAGUCGCAAGACGCUUUGAGAGGGGCCUAUGGCCUAUCAGCUUGUUGGUGAGGUAACGGCUCACCAAGGCUAUGACGGGUAGGGGUGUGAGAGCACGACCCCCCUCACUGGGACGUGAGACACUGCCCACGACACCUACCGGGUGGGCUGCAGUCGAGAAUAUUCCCCAACUGGCCGAAAGGACGUGAGGGAGCGACGCCGCGUGCAGGAA